rnacentral:tRNA from 1 species
UGGGAAGUGGUGUAAUGGAAGCACCAAGAGUUUUGUUCUCUUGAAUAGGGGUUCGAGUCCUUUCUUCCUAA